AGACAGACGACCACCCACCUAGAGCCGAAGGGUCUGUCCUAGGUUUCUGCCUUUUAACAGGCAGUUUUUCCUUGCCCUUGUCGCCAAGGUCUUGCUCAUGGUGGUACUGUUGGGUCUCUGUAAAUAAUGUUAUAAAGAGUUCGGUCUAGACCUGCUCUAUUUGAAAAGUGUCCUGAGAUAACUUCUGUUAUGAAUUGGCGCUAUACAAAUAAAACUGAAUUGAAU